CAGCUGGAGCUUUCGCAGAAGAGUAAAGAGGAAGCUUACCUAAUGGCAGAUGCUUUCCGCAUUGCAUUUGAGCAGCAAUUACUGAGGAAAAAUGACCACACGCUCAAAUGGACACAAGUGGACAAACUGUGUCAAAAAGCAACGAAACCAAUCGACUGGAAGGCCCUCAAAGAGGAUGGCUUCCUCUCCCGAAAGAGUAAGAAGACGUUAGGGCAGAGACUGUUGGGAAUGCUCCCUUCCGAAAGCGGUUUGAAGAGGUCUGCAGACCCGGAUAACCCUCAAGAAGUCUUUCAGAGGCUAAUCGACUUGUUGAAUGACAAAGAGGAAGCGCUGGCUCAUCAGAGAAAAGUGAGUUAUAUGCUUGCUCGCGCACUGGAAGACAGAGACACUGCCUCCA